rnacentral:sRNA from 1 species
UUGACAUGCAUGGAGACUGAAGUCUUCUGUUUACCCGUAGAAUAAGCACAGCCUGGGAAGCAGUAAUGCAAAACUCCCUUCCCUUCAGCCUGUGCUGCCCAGCCAGCAUUUCCCAUCUCUGACCUGAGGAAACAAGGUGAAAGAAUAGCUAGGUCUCCAUGCCCACUGGAUCCUCAUCUUCU